rnacentral:rRNA from 1 species
AGCAGCCGCGGUAAUUCCAGCUCCAAUAGCGUAUAUUAAAGUUGUUGCAGUUAAAAAGCUCGUAGUUGAAUUUCGGGGUCAGUAGAUUGGUCGUGCCACUGGUAUGUGCUGGUCUACUGGCUCCUCCUUCCUGAUGAACCGUAAUGCCAUUAAUUUGGUGUUGCGGGGAAACUGGACUGUUACUUUGAAAAAAUUAGAGUGUUUAAAGCAGGCUAACGCUUGAAUACAUUAGCAUGGAAUAAUGAAAUAGGACGUUCGAUCUUAUUUUGUUGGUUUCUCGGAUUGACGUAAUGAUUAAUAGGGAUAGUUGGGGGCAUUAGUAUUCAAUUGUCAGAGGUGAAAUUCUUGGAUUUAU